UACGAAGGGGGCUAGCGUUGCUCGGAAUUACUGGGCGUAAAGGGCGCGUAGGCGGAUGUCUAAGUUGGGGGUGAAAUCCCGGGGCUCAACCUCGGAACCGCCUUCAAUACUGGAUAUCUUGAGUUCGGGAGAGGUGAGUGGAAUGCCGAGUGUAGAGGUGAAAUGCGCAGAUAUCAGGAGGAACACCUAUUGCGAAGGCAGCUCGCUGGGACGUUACUGACGCUGAGACGCGAAAGCGUGGGGAGCAAACAGG
rnacentral:rRNA from 1 species